rnacentral:lncRNA from 1 species
AUUUUACAUAAUUUAGUAAUAAUUUAAAUAUCUAAUGGAGUACAUCAGUUAAAAAUAUGUUCUAAUUUAUUGUUUAUCUGAUAAAUCAAUAUCAAUUGUUCAUGUUGAUGAUGUUUUUGGGUGGAAUCUUAAAGAAUUCGAAAAACUCAAAAUUUGUAACAGAGUUGGAUUAAUGGUGAUAAUUAAAGACAACAUGAUAAAGGUUUCAAGCAUUCCACAGACUGAUAUUGUUGUAAAAUGUUGUAACUUUAGUUGAGUCCCAGGUAUUCCGCUGAUUCAAGUUUAUUACAGAUGCAUGAUAGUAUGCUUGGUAUUUGCAAUCGUCUAAAUUUUGAACCAUUAAGGUCACUUUCUUACGAAUGCAUACAUUCUUUAUAAACUGAAUUCUAUUCGAUAUAAGUUGACAACUCUUGAAGAAAGACAGAGAAGGUUGGAAGCACGUUUUUGUAAUGAUCCUGUUGAUCAGAAUAUCAGCCAAAUCCAGUUCCCAAUUUUUAAUUCCGUACUCCAAUAUUCUGAAGCUGAAAAGCACCCAACGAAUAUGCUGUCAUGGAUGAUGUUUAAAGGUGGGUUGACUGUCUAUGACCAUAUUUCAAGAGUGCUUAAUAAGUAGCUAAUUUAUAGCUUCAACUGUUCACUUUUUCCCCGGCACCACAAAAAAAGAAAUUGAGUUGAAAGUUGCACGAUUUUUCAAUAAUACCAGAGAUCGCUAUGUUGGUUGGCUGCGGCGAUGUAAGAAAACAGCAGUUUCAGACAGAUACAGACAGUGACGAGAGAAGUGAAGAGGACAUCAAAGUUGAUAACGAUCCUCGACAAAAGAAGCGAAAGACAUCUUUAAAUAAAUAUUAAUAUCUUGUGUUUUGAAUUGCAUUACUAUGUAAAUAAUAUGUAAUAUAUUACAGUUUAUCAUAAUAAUAAAUAAGUUUAAAAAAUA